rnacentral:rRNA from 1 species
UACGGAGGGUGCAAGCGUUAUCCGGAUUCACUGGGUUUAAAGGGUGCGUAGGUGGGUUGGUAAGUCAGUGGUGAAAUCUCCGAGCUUAACUUGGAAACUGCCAUUGAUACUAUCAGUCUUGAAUAUUGUGGAGGUUAGCGGAAUAUGUCAUGUAGCGGUGAAAUGCUUAGAUAUGACAUAGAACACCAAUUGCGAAGGCAGCUGGCUACACAUAUAUUGACACUGAGACGCGAAAGCGUGGGGAGCAAACAGG